rnacentral:rRNA from 1 species
GAGUUUGAUCCUGGCUCAGGAUGAACGCUAGCGAUAGGCCUUACACAUGCAAGUCGAGGGGCAGCGCGGGAAAGUAGCAAUACCUUCUUGGCGGCGACCGGCGGAUGGGUGAGUAACGCGUAUGCAACCUACCUACUACUUUGGGAUAGCUCGUUGAAAGACGAAUUAAUACCUUAUAAUACAGGGACUCCGCAUGGAGAUAUUUGUUAAAGAUUCAUUGGUAGUAGAUGGGCAUGCGUUCCAUUAGUUAGUUGGUAAGGUAAAGGCUUACCAAGACAAUGAUGCGUAGCUGGACUGAGAGGUUGAACAGCCACACUGGGACUGAGAACGGCCCAGACUCCUACGGGAGGCAGCAGUAGAGAAUCUUCGGCAAUGGGGGGAACCCUGAACGAGCAAUGCCGCGUGAGUGAUGACAGUCUUAUGGAUUGUAAAACUCUGUUGUUUGGAAAGAACAGUAAGAAUAGGAAAUGAUUCUUACCUGACGGUACCAUUCAAGAAAGCACCGGCUAACUACGUGCCAGCAGCCGCGGUAAUACGUAGGGUGCAAGCGUUAUCCGGAUUUAUUGGGCGUAAAGCGUCCGCAGCCGGUUUAUUAAGUCUAAAAUCAAAGCCUGAGGCUCAACCUCAGCACGUUUUAGAAACUGAUAGGCUUGAGUGUGGUAGAGGCAAGUGGAAUUUCUAGUGUAGCGGUAAAAUGUGUAGAUAUUAGAAGGAACACCAGUGGCGAAGGCGACUUGCUGGGCCAUCACUGACGGUCAUGGACGAAAGCGUGGGGAGCAAACAGGAUUAGAUACCCUGGUAGUCCACGCCGUAAACGAUGAGUGCUAAGUAUCGGUAGAUUCGGUGCCUAAGCUAACGCAGUAAGCACUCCGCCUGGGGAGUACGGUCGCAAGACUGAAACUCAAAGGAAUUGACGGGGACUCGCACAAGCGGUGGAGCAUGCGGUUUAAUUCGAUGAUACGCGAGGAACCUUACCUGGGUUUAAAUGGGGAGUGACAGGCUUGGAAACAGGCUCUUCUUCGGACACUCUUCAAGGUGCUGCAUGGUUGUCGUCAGCUCGUGCCGUGAGGUGUCGGGUUAAGUCCCAUAACGAGCGCAACCCCUAUCGAUAGUUACCAGCACGUUACGGUGGGGACUCUAUCGAGACUGCCGGUGUAAACCGUGAGGAGGGUGGGGAGGACGUCAAAUCAGCACGGCCCUUACAUCCAGGGCUACACACGUACUACAAUGGCAUAUACAAAGGGCAGCUACACAGCGAUGUGAUGCGAAUCUCAUAAAGUAUGUCUCAGUUCGGAUUGGAGUCUGCAACUCGACUCCAUGAAGCAGGAAUCGCUAGUAAUCGUGGAUCAGAAUGCCACGGUGAAUACGUUCUCGGGUCUUGUACUCACCGCCCGUCAAG